CGCUCAAGACUAGCUAGAAAAAUACUGAUUUUAGCCUAAUUGCUCACAUUUCUAGGAUUGUAAAAUCCUAAA
rnacentral:tRNA from 2 species